rnacentral:rRNA from 1 species
CACGUGGAUAACCUGCCCUAAGGUGGGGCAUAACCCCGGGAAACUGGGGAUAAUACCCCAUAGGUUAGAGAUGCUGGAAUGCCCUUUAACCCAAAGCUCCGGCGCCUUAGGAUGGAUCUGCGGCCGAUUAGGUAGUUGUUGGGGUAACGGCCCAACAAGCCUGUAAUCGGUACGGGUUGUGGGAGCAAGAGCCCGGAGAUGGACUCUGAGACACGAGUCCAGGCCCUACGGGGCGCAGCAGGCGCGAAAACUUUACAAUGCAGGAAACUGUGAUAAGGGAACCCCGAGUGCCCGUAUACGCGGGCUGUCCAGGUGUGUAAAAAGCAUCUGAAGAAAGGGCCGGGCAAGACCGGUGCCAGCCGCCGCGGUAAUACCGGCGGCUCGAGUGGUGGCCACUUUUAUUGGGCUUAAAGCGUUCGUAGCUUGGUUGUUAAGUCUCUUGGGAAAUCUCACGGCUCAACCGUGAGGCGUCUAAGGGAUACUGGUAACCUAGGGACCGGAAGAGGUGAGAGGUACUCCAGGGGUAGGAGUGAAAUCCUG